UACGUAGGUGGCAAGCGUUGUCCGGAUUUAUUGGGUUUAAAGGGUGCGUAGGCGGCCCCGUAAGUCAGUGCUGAAAUAUCCCGGCUUAACCGGGAGGGUGGCAUUGAUACUGCAGGGCUUGAGUAAAGUUGAGGUAGGCGGAAUUGACGGUGUAGCGGUGAAAUGCUUAGAUAUCGAGAGGAACACCUGCGGCGAAGGCGGGUAGCUGGGCCGACACUGACGCUGAGGCGCGAAAGCCAGGGGAGCGAACGGG
rnacentral:rRNA from 1 species